AUUGAACGCUGGCGGCAGGCCUAACACAUGCAAGUCGAGCGGAUGAAGGGAGCUUGCUCCUGGAUUCAGCGGCGGACGGGUGAGUAAUGCCUAGGAAUCUGCCUGGUAGUGGGGGAUAACGUCCGGAAACGGGCGCUAAUACCGCAUACGUCCUGAGGGAGAAAGUGGGGGAUCUUCGGACCUCACGCUAUCAGAUGAGCCUAGGUCGGAUUAGCUAGUUGGUGGGGUAAAGGCCUACCAAGGCGACGAUCCGUAACUGGUCUGAGAGGAUGAUCAGUCACACUGGAACUGAGACACGGUCCAGACUCCUACGGGAGGCAGCAGUGGGGAAUAUUGGGCAAUGGGCGAAAGCCUGAUCCAGCCAUGCCGCGUGUGUGAAGAAGGUCUUCGGAUUGUAAAGCACUUUAGGUUGGGAGGAAGGGCAGUAAGUUAAUACCUUGCUGUUUUGACGGUACCAACAGAAUAAGCACCGGCUAACUUCGUG
rnacentral:rRNA from 1 species